UGAGAGGAUUCAAAGUAUGUCUGCCACGUGC
rnacentral:piRNA from 1 species